AAGGGAAUCUUCCGCAAUGGGCGAAAGCCUGACGGAGCAACGCCGCGUGAGUGAUGAAGGUCUUCGGAUCGUAAAACUCUGUUAUUAGGGAAGAACAAAUGUGUAAGUAACUAUGCACGUCUUGACGGUACCUAAUCAGAAAGCCACGGCUAACUACUUGCCAGCAGCCGCGGUAAUACGUAGGUGGCAAGCGUUAUCCGGAAUUAUUGGGCGUAAAGCGCGCGUAGGCGGUUUUUUAAGUCUGAUGUGAAAGCCCACGGCUCAACCGUGGAGGGUCAUUAGAAACUGGAAAACUUGAGUGCAGAAAAGGAAAGUGCAAUUCCAAGUGUAGCGGUGAAAUGCGCAGAGAUAUGGAGGAACACCAGUUGCGAAGGCGACUUGCUGGUCUGUAACUGACGCUGAUGUGCGAAAGCGUGGGGAUCAAACAGG
rnacentral:rRNA from 1 species